CAUCAAGCAGUGGACUGUUAAAUACUGAGCUGCAAGCAGACAAACAUCCACAUCUCCAGGGAGAAGGACUACUGUAGAAUUCAAACUUUUCCUUCUUUUUUCAUUUUUUUUUUAAGUGUAUUUU